UAGGCCUCCAAUGAUCAUCAUACAAUUGGACUCAUUAUCACCCAACUUAAAUAAUUUAGUUAUCACCAUAACUAUUUCAUUUAAGGGAUCUAAUAAUUUAGACAAUUUAAUUUAUGAAUUAAGAGAAGAUAAAAGAAGAGAUUAACCAGUAAAUCAUAAUCCUUCUACUGACUUCACCAAGUCAUUAAAUCAGAUUAAGGUCAUGC
rnacentral:lncRNA from 1 species